GACGAACGCUGGCGGCGUGCUUAACACAUGCAAGUCGAACGGAAAGGCCCUGCUUUUGUGGGGUGCUCGAGUGGCGAACGGGUGAGUAACACGUGAGUAACCUGCCCUUGACUUUGGGAUAACUUCAGGAAACUGGGGCUAAUACCGGAUAGGAGCUCCUGCUGCAUGGUGGGGGUUGGAAAGUUUCGGCGGUUGGGGAUGGACUCGCGGCUUAUCAGCUUGUUGGUGGGGUAGUGGCUUACCAAGGCUUUGACGGGUAGCCGGCCUGAGAGGGUGACCGGCCACAUUGGGACUGAGAUACGGCGCAGACUCCUACGGGAGGCAGCAGUGGGGGAUAUUGCACAAUGGGCGGAAGCCUGAUGCAGCAACGCCGCGUGCGGGAUGACGGCCUUCGGGUUGUAAACCGCUUUCGCCUGUGACGAAGCGUGAGUGACGGUAAUGGGUAAAGAAGCACCGGCUAACUACGUG
rnacentral:rRNA from 1 species